UUUAGAUCCAAGAUAUUUUGGUUCAUCCUUAUCCACAAGCAGACAGUUAGGUCUGAAACUUUUAGUCCAUCCCCACUGAAAAUCAACAAUUUAAAACUAAAAAUAUCAAAAAUGCUUUUCAGUCAGGAGAAGCUACAUCACAAUAAUGUAGGUACAGUGACCGACUUGCAAUCCAAUUGAGCUUUGUACCUUCGUAUCCUUGCAGCGCUGUAUGAAGGCCUUGUCCAUUCACCAGAGAUCUUCACUCAUUGAAAAUCAAGAUAGAAGCCUCAAGAAAGAAUUGCAGGCUUUGGCUGAGGCAAUGAAAACCAUCAGCGAUGAUACUGAACCAGCAUUACGUGCCUCUGGUGUUUCAAUUAAAUCUCAGUUCACUCAACUUGAAGGCUGUGUAUUAUAACCUCCAAGGUUUCUGAAGGGCCUGGACUGCAUUUAAAUACUCAAAUCUUCCUUGUUGAAAUUGUUGGGCGAGCAACACCCCAGAGCGUGGACUUUCUGAAGGAUCAAAAUGUGCUCCGGACUGUAUUGACUGUAUUGCAGGUUCUACUGCACUGGGAACGCUUUUCUUACCACAAAUAUCGUUGAUCUUUUUGGGCAUGCUGAAUGUGUACAGCGCCAGUGAGCUUAUUCCUAGUAGUAUCGCGAGGGCGGACCCUUUUCGUCAAAAGCUUCCUACGUAAAACUUCCACGAUCAGUGAAAAGGGAGACUCUCGAGCUCAUUGGAGCUUUUUUGGACAAGGCUGAAGAUCAACCCAAAUUGAGAGCAGUUUGUGCCGCAAAUGAUGGAUCCUGUUCUUGGUGAUUAUGCGAGGAGUUCGCCUGAAAAGAGGGAGUCUGAAGUUCUUUCUGUGUUUGCAACAAUCAUAAACAAGUACAAAGGUGUGAUUACAGAGGAUGUUCCUCGCAUAUUUGAAGCUGCAAUUGAAUAUACCCUCUCUCUGUUGAACUAUUCAUCUGUCUCUCUAUGCAUACUAACAACUGAAGCUCGUCAUGGAUUCCAUUAUAUGGGCUUUCAGAAACAUCCAAAGAAAUUUCGCUGAAACUGGGCUCAACCUACCAGUUUCAAGAAACAUAUCCGUGACUUAUGCAGUCCAAAGAAUUCUCAGACAAGGAUAACACGGAUCUUUAUGCUGAGGAGGCAGCUAAUGCUAUAUAGAGAGAAGAAGAGCCUCAGAGGAGUGAUUGUUUUGCCCAUCAGGUGUUUUUCUCCUGUAGAAUGCUUAACACCCAUUGGUGGUUAGGAGUGACAGUUUGCUUCUGAUUUUGCAUGCAGGUUGGAGAGAGCGAGCUUUUAGUAUCUGUGCUUCUGACAGGCCUUCCCAAUACAAUUGUGGAUCUCGAGCCUCAGCAGUUUCAUACAUUUUAUGAGUCAGUUAAGAUGGCUAGUUAUAGUUGAACAAGUUGGGAAAAUUUUGAAGAUUAACAAGAGGCAGUUUAUGCAGUGCUGGGAGGUUCUUAUCUAUCUGCAACUUGAUCCCGGCACAACAAGAAGUUCAUGAACAACUACAGAAAUGGGCUGAAAUUAUUGGACAGACAUGACAGAGUGUGGAAUUUCUGAAGGAUCAAGUUGUGAUCCGGACUGUAUUGAACAUAUUGCAGAUACAAAGGUGUGAUGACUGAGGAUGUUCCUCCCAUAUGUGAAGCUGUUUUCGAAUGCACCCUUACGGUUACAAAGAACUUUGACGACUAUCCUGAACGCCACCAUGAAUUCUUUUCAUAACUGCCAGCGACUGCUAAACAUCGUCUCCCGGCUCUAAUUAUUUUGUCAGAGUUAGCUUGUCAAUGUUGUCAUGAAUUUCAUUAUAUGGGCUUUCAGAAACACCGAAAGAGAUGUCGCUGAAACUGGGCACAACCUCCUGUUGGAGAUGCUGAAGAAUUUUUCAUAUUUCUGAGACUUGCAAUCUGUUCCGCCGGACUUACUUCGUCACAAUCAAGCAAGAGAUUUUUGUGGUCCUAAGUAAUACAUUCCAUAAACCUGGUUUCAAGCAACAUGUUUUAGUCCUGCACAGUCCUGCACCUCCUAUUUUGCCUGGUGGACUCUAGUUUAUUAACAGAGCCUCAUCUGUGCCUUACCCUAACAACACUAUUAGUUCAUGAAUACCCUAUUAAGCUUCUGGGUUCGUCAUUCCAAACAUGACUACGGCAGAGAACGACCCUGCCAGCUUCAAGAAUCAUAUCCAUGACUUCUUGUGCAGUCCAAAGAAUUCUCAGAUAAGAAAUUGGUUGAAAUUAUUGGGCAAGCAUAUGACAGAGCGUGGAUUUUCUUAACUGUGCAUUGAACAUGUUACAGGUACAAAGGUGUGUUUACAGAGGAUGCUCCUCUAAUAUUUGGAGCUGUUUUUGAAUGUACCCUUGAGGAUGAUUACAAAGAACAUUGAAGGCUAUCCUGAACACCGCCUUGUUUUGUGACUCAGAUCUGACUCAGCUGACUCGAUUUUUUAGGACAAAAAAUGCCUUUAUGCACAUUUUAAACCAGAACAUUUACCGUUACUUAAACAUCACAAAUUGUUGCAUUGCAGUCUAAAUAACUUCCCUUUCGGAUGGAAUUAAACAUAUUAGACAUAAUAAAAUAAU